rnacentral:tRNA from 1 species
GCGAAAGUGGUGGAACUGGCAGACUCGCUAGAUUCAGGUUCUAGUGCUCGCAAGGGCGUGCGGGUUCAAAUCCCGCCUUUCGCACCA